GACGAACGCUGGCGGCGUGCUUAACACAUGCAAGUCGAGCGGAAAGGCCCUGUAUUUGUGGGGAGCUCGAGUGGCGAACGGGUGAGUGAAACGCGAGUAACCUGUCCUUGACAUUGGGAUAACACAAGGAGAAAGGGGCGAUUACACGGUAGGAGCACCUGAUACACGGGGGGGGUGGGAGAGUUUCGGAGGUGGGGGAUGGACAGGUGGUUUAUCAGUGUGUUGGUGGGGUGGUGGGGUAACAGUGCAUCGAGGGGAGGCCGGCCUGGGAGGGUGACCGGCCACAAUGGGCCUGGGGUACGGCCCAGACUCCUACGUGGGGCAGAGGUGGGAAAUAUUGCACAAUGGGCGGAGGCCUGAUGCAGCAACGCCGCGUGCGGGAUGUCGGCCUUCGGGGUGUAAACCGCUUUCGCCUGUGACGAAGCGUGAGUGACGGUAAUGGGUAAAGAAGCACCGGCUAACUACGUG
rnacentral:rRNA from 1 species